rnacentral:rRNA from 1 species
GCGGUAAUUCCAGCUCAAUAAGCGUAUACCAACGUUGUUGCAGUUAAAACGCUCGUAGUCGAAUUUUGGCGAACGUCGCAAUCGCUCCGCGAGGAGUGCGUUGCUUCGGACGCCUUUGUGGAUGGGGGUCAGUGUUCCUUCAUUGGAAAUUACUGACUUCCGCCACCGUUUACUGUGAAAAAAUUAGAGUGUUCAAAGCAAGCGUUUGCCCUGAAUACAUUAGCAUGGAAUAAUAGAAUAGGACCUGGUCUUGUUCUGUUGGUUUGUCAUAAUCAGGUAAUGAUUAAGAGGGACGGUCGGGGGCAUUAGUACUCCAGAGCUAGAGGUGAAAUUCUCGGAUU